rnacentral:rRNA from 1 species
AUUGAACGCUGGCGGCCGGCCUAACACAUGCAAGUCGAGCGGUAGCACAGGGAGCUUGCUCCUGGGUGACGAGCGGCGGACGGGUGAGUAAUGUCUGGGAAACUGCCUGAUGGAGGGGGAUAACUACUGGAAACGGUAGCUAAUACCGCAUAACGUCGCAAGACCAAAGAGGGGGACCUUCGGGCCUCCUGCCCUCAGAUGUCCCCAGAUGGGAUUAGCUAGUAGGUGGGGUAACGGCUCACCUUGGCGACGAGCCCCAGCUGGUCUGAGAGGAUGACCAGCCAAACUGGAACUGAGACACGGUCCAGACUCCUACGGGAGGCAGCAGUGGGGAAUAUUGCAAAAUGGGCGCAAGCCUGAUGCAGCCAUGCCGCGUGUAUGAAGAAGGCCUUCGGGUUGUAAAGUACUUUCAGCGGGGAGGAAGGUGUUGGGGUUAAUAACCUCAGCAAUUGACGUUACCCGCAGAAGAAGCACCGGCUAACUCCGUGCCAGCCGCCGCCGUAACAC